rnacentral:rRNA from 1 species
UACGAAGGGGGCUAGCGUUGCUCGGAAUCACUGGGCGUAAAGCGCACGUAGGCGGCUUUUUAAGUCAGGGGUGAAAUCCUGGAGCUCAACUCCAGAACUGCCUUUGAUACUGAGAUCUUGAGUCGGGAGAGGUGAGUGGAACUGCGAGUGUAGAGGUGAAAUUCGUAGAUAUUCGCAAGAACACCAGUGGCGAAGGCGGCUCACUGGCCCGGUACUGACGCUGAGGUGCGAAAGCGUGGGGAGCAAACAGGG